rnacentral:rRNA from 1 species
GCUAAACGCGAAGAACCUUACCAAGGCUUGACAUACACGAGAACACUCUGGAAACAGGGGACUCUUUGGACACUCGUGAACAGGUGGUGCAUGGUUGUCGUCAGCUCGUGUCGUGAGAUGUUGGGUUAAGUCCCGCAACGAGCGCAACCCUCGUUCUAUGUUGCCAGCACGUUAUGGUGGGAACUCAUGGGAUACUGCCGGGGUCAACUCGGAGGAAGGUGGGGAUGACGUCAAAUCAUCAUGCCCCUUAUGUCUUGGGCUUCACGCAUGCUACAAUGGCCGGUACAAAGGGCUGCAAUACCGUGAGGUGGAGCGAAUCCCAAAAAGCCGGUCCCAGUUCGGAUUGAGGUCUGCAACUCGACCUCAUGAAGUCGGAGUCGCUAGUAAUCGCAGAUCAGCAACGCUGCGGUGAAUACGUUCCCGGGUCUUGUACACACCG